GAUCGCACCCGUCCACUUCUCACGAUCACGUGUAUUUGAACCUUUCCGAUCACUACUUCCUCCCUUCAUUUUCACGUUUUUUCGCUUUCUAUUAAGUCCAUUUUGGCCCGUUCCCGCUCGAGCCUCGAAAAUAGCCGCCCUCUAGGUUCGCCUCCAGCAUUAUGCAUGUAAUAUAAAUGAUGUAAUCUCGGUAAGCGUGUCGAUAACGUCGCCGAGGGGGAAAACUUCAAAAAGAGGGGGUGCAACACGAGAACUUCCCAAGAGAUCACCCAUCUUAGUAGUACUCUCGCCUAAGCAAGUAUAACUUCGGAGUUCUGAUGGGAUCCGGUACAUUAGUGCUGGCAUAAUCGCACCCGUCCACUUCUCAUGAUCACGUGUAUUUGAACCACUCCCGUCACUACUUCCUCCCUUCAUUUUCACGCUUUUCGCUUUCUUUUAAUUACAUUUUAGCCCGUUCCCGCCCGAGCCUCGAAAAUGACCGAUCCCUCCGUUCCCCUCCCUCAUUAUGCGUGUAAUAUAAACGAUGUUAAGCGUGUCAAUAACGUCGUCAGGGGAAAAAGUUGCAAAAAGAGGAGGUGCAACACGAGGACUUCCCAAGAGGUCACCCAUCUUAGUACUAAUCUCGCCCAAGCACGGUUCACUUCGGAGUUCUGAUGGGAUCCGGUGCAUUAGUGUUGGCAUGAUCGCACUCGUCCACUUCUCACGAUCACGUGUAUUUGAAUCACUCUUAUAACUACUUCCUCCCUUCAUUUUCACGCUUUUUACUUUCUUUUGAUUACAUUUUGGCUUGUUCCCGCCCGAGCGUCGAAAAUACCCGCCCGAGCCUCGAAAAUACCCGCCCUCUCGGUUCAACUGUCUCGGUUCCCCUACGUCGUAAUGUAGGAAAUAUACAUGAUUUUAUAUCGUUAGAAGGGUCGACGACGCAGGGGGCAAAACAUUUUGUGAAGAGAGGGGGGUGCAACACGAGGACUUCCCAAGAGGUCACCCAUCUUAGUACUACUCUCGCCCAAGAACGUUUACCUUCAGAGUUCUGGUGGGUACCGGUGCAGUAGUGUUGGUAUGAUCGCACCUGUCUACUUCUCACGAUCAUGUGUAUUUGAACCACUCCCGUCACUACUUCCUCCCUUCAUUUUCACGCUUUUCGCAUUCUUUUAAUUACAUUUUGGCUCGUUCCCGCCUGAGCCUCGAAAAUUCCCACCCUCUCGGUUCCCCUACGUCAUUAUACAUGUAAUAUAAAUUAUGUAAUUUCGGUAAGCAGGUCGAUAAUGUCACCAGGGGAAAAAUUGCAAAAAGAGGGUUGCAACACGAGGACUUCCCAAGAGGUCACCCAUCUUACUACCACUCUCGCCCAAGCACGUUUAACUUCAAAGUUCUUAUGGGUUCUGGUGCAUUAGUGUUGGUAUAAUGCACGUGUACUUGAACCACUCCCCUCACUACUUCCUCCCUUCAUUUUCACGCUUUUCGCUUUCUUUUAAUUACAUUUUGGCUCGUUCCCGCCCGAGCCUCGAAAAUACCCGCCCCCUCAGUUUCGCGUCCAUCAUUAUGCAUGUAAUAUAAACGAUGUAAUCUCGGUUAGCGUGUCGAUAAUGUCACCGGGGGAAAUAAUUUCAAAAAGAGGGUGUCCAACACGAGGACUUCCCAAGAGCUCACCCAUCUUAGUCCAACUCUCGCCCAACCACGGUUCACUUCGGAGUUCGGAGUUCUGAUGGGCUCCGGUGCAUUAGUGUUGGUAUGAUCGCACCCGUCCACUGCUCAUGCUCAUGUGUAUAUCAACCAAUCCCGUCACUACUUCCUCCCUUAAUUUUCAAUUUUUUAUCUUACUUUAAACUGCGUUUUGGCCGUUUUCCACCCGAACCUCGGAAUUACCAACGGUCUCGGUUCUUCUACGUCAUAAUGUAGGAAAUAUACAUGAUUUUAUAUCGUUAGAAGGGUCGACGUCGCAGGGGGCAAAUCAUUUUGUGUAGAGAGGUGGGUGCAACACGAGGAUAUCCCAAGAGGUCACCCAUCUUAGUACUACUCUCGCCCAAGCACGUUUAACUUCGGAGUUCUGAUGGGAUCCGGUGCAUUAGUGCUGGUAUGAUCGCACCCGUCCACUGCUCACGCUCAUGUGUAUAUCAACCAAUCCCGUCACUACUUCCUCCCUUAAUUUUCACGCUGUUCGGUUUCUUUUUAUUACAUUUUGGCUCGUUCCCGCCCGAGCCUCGAAAAUACCCGCCCCCUCGGUUCGCCUCUGUCAUUAUGCAUGUGAUAUAGAUGAUGUAAUUUCGGUAAGCGUGUUGAUAAUGUCGCCGGGGGAAAAAAUUGCAAAAAGAGGGUGUGCAACACAAGGACUUCCCAAGAGGUCACCCAUCUAAGUACUACUCUCGCCCAAGAAAACGGUUAACUUCAGAGUUCUGGUGGGUACCGGUGCAUUAGUGUUGGUAUGAUCGCACCCGUCUACUUCUCACGAUCAUGUGUAUUUGAACAACUCCCGUCAGUACUUCCUCCCUUCAUUUCCAUGGUUUUCGCUUUCUUUUAAUUACAUUUUUCCUCGUUCCCACCCGAGCCUCAAAAAUACCCGCCCUCUCGGUUCGCCUCCGUCAUUAUGCAUGUAAUAUAAAUGAUGUAAUUUCGGUAAGCGGGUCGAUAAUGUUGCCGGGGGAAAAAUUGCAAAAAGAGGGGUUGCAACACGAGGACUUCCCAAGGGGUCACCCAUCUUAGUACUACUCUCGCCCAAGCACGUUUAACUUCGGAGUUCUAAUGGGAUCCGGUGUAUUAGUGGUGAUAUGAUCGCACCCGUCCACUUCUCGCGAUCACGUGUAUUUGAACCACUCCCGUCACUACUUCCUCCCUUCAUUUUCAUGCUUUUCGCUUUCUUUUAAUUACAUUUUGCCCCGUUCCCGCCCGAGCCUGGAAAGUACCCCCCUCUCGGUUCCCCUCCGUCAUUAUGCACGUAAUAUAAACGAUGUAACCUCGCUAAGCGUGCCCAUAACGUCGCCGGAGAAAAAUUGCAAAAGGAGGGGGUGCAACACGGGAGGUGCAACACUAGGACUUCCCAAGAGGUCACCCAUCUUAGUACUAUUCUCGCCCAAGCACAGUUCACUACGGAAUUCUGAUGGGAUCCGGUGCAUUAGUGUUGGUAUGAUCGCACCCGUCCACUUCUCACGAUCACGCUUAUUUGAACCACUCCCGUCACUACUUCCUCCCUUCAUUUUCACGCUUUUCGCUUUCUUUUAAUUACAUUUUAGCCCGUUCCCGCCCGAGCCUCGAAAAUGACCGAUCCCUCGGCUCCCCUCCCUCAUUAUGCGUGUAAUAUAAACGAUGUAAUCUCGGUAAGAGUGUCCAUAACGUCGCCGGG
rnacentral:lncRNA from 1 species